UUUGGAAAGAGAUAAAUCGUCGUUCAUGGUGAGUCAGUUAAGUCAUAGCCAUGAGAACCACUACCUCUGAACCCAGUUGUUCUGUUGCAAAUCCUGUAUUUUCCUCUGAUAUUCUCGACCCUGUUCUGCUUCUCUUUUGUUUUGUCGUUCUUAUUUCGUUGGUGUCCCUGCUGUUCUAACCGAUUGGAUUGGUGCUGCUACUGCUAAGACGUAUGCUCUGCUCUCUGGUUUCUGUUUUCCCGAGUACCAGAGCUGCUGUUCCAUUCCUGUAUUUCUUUUGAGUUGUGGGUGAUGCCGCUGCCGUUCCAGUUGUAUUGGAGUGACUACCUGCCACAAAUUGGGGAUAAAGGAAAUUGUUACGUUAAAUAAUACGAUUCCGACUAAUUGAGGUUUGAAGACGCAAAUUGAAACUGCGAGCGAUUAGUAGGUUUUCUUUAUGGUUUUAAUUGCUUUCAUAGAGUCUCCUCGCUCUUUUCCUUUGAAG